rnacentral:rRNA from 1 species
GGUUAAGCGACUAAGCGUACACGGUGGAUGCCCUGGCAGUCAGAGGCGAUGAAGGACGUGCUAAUCUGCGAUAAGCGUCGGUAAGGUGAUAUGAACCGUUAUAACCGGCGAUUUCCGAAUGGGGAAACCCAGUGUGUUUCGACACACUAUCAUUAACUGAAUCCAUAGGUUAAUGAGGCGAACCGGGGGAACUGAAACAUCUAAGUACCCCGAGGAAAAGAAAUCAACCGAGAUUCCCCCAGUAGCGGCGAGCGAACGGGGAGCAGCCCAGAGCCUGAAUCAGUAUGUGUGUUAGUGGAAGCGUCUGGAAAGGCGCGCGAUACAGGGUGACAGCCCCGUACACAAAAAUGCACAUAUUGUGAGCUCGAUGAGUAGGGCGGGACACGUGGUAUCCUGUCUGAAUAUGGGGGGACCAUCCUCCAAGGCUAAAUACUCCUGACUGACCGAUAGUGAACCAGUACCGUGAGGGAAAGGCGAAAAGAACCCCGGCGAGGGGAGUGAAAAAGAACCUGAAACCGUGUACGUACAAGCAGUGGGAGCACGCUUAGGCGUGUGACUGCGUACCUUUUGUAUAAUGGGUCAGCGACUUAUAUUCUGUAGCAAGGUUAACCGAAUAGGGGAGCCGAAGGGAAACCGAGUCUUAACUGGGCGUUAAGUUGCAGGGUAUAGACCCGAAACCCGGUGAUCUAGCCAUGGGCAGGUUGAAGGUUGGGUAACACUAACUGGAGGACCGAACCGACUAAUGUUGAAAAAUUAGCGGAUGACUUGUGGCUGGGGGUGAAAGGCCAAUCAAACCGGGAGAUAGCUGGUUCUCCCCGAAAGCUAUUUAGGUAGCGCCUCGUGAAUUCAUCUCCGGGGGUAGAGCACUGUUUCGGCAAGGGGGUCAUCCCGACUUACCAACCCGAUGCAAACUGCGAAUACCGGAGAAUGUUAUCACGGGAGACACACGGCGGGUGCUAACGUCCGUCGUGAAGAGGGAAACAACCCAGACCGCCAGCUAAGGUCCCAAAGUCAUGGUUAAGUGGGAAACGAUGUGGGAAGGCCCAGACAGCCAGGAUGUUGGCUUAGAAGCAGCCAUCAUUUAAAGAAAGCGUAAUAGCUCACUGGUCGAGUCGGCCUGCGCGGAAGAUGUAACGGGGCUAAACCAUGCACCGAAGCUGCGGCAGCGACGCUGAUGCGUUGUUGGGUAGGGGAGCGUUCUGUAAGCCUGCGAAGGUGUGCUGUGAGGCAUGCUGGAGGUAUCAGAAGUGCGAAUGCUGACAUAAGUAACGAUAAAGCGGGUGAAAAGCCCGCUCGCCGGAAGACCAAGGGUUCCUGUCCAACGUUAAUCGGGGCAGGGUGAGUCGACCCCUAAGGCGAGGCCGAAAGGCGUAGUCGAUGGGAAACAGGUUAAUAUUCCUGUACUUGGUGUUACUGCGAAGGGGGGACGGAGAAGGCUAUGUUGGCCGGGCGACGGUUGUCCCGGUUUAAGCGUGUAGGCUGGUUUUCCAGGCAAAUCCGGAAAAUCAAGGCUGAGGCGUGAUGACGAGGCACUACGGUGCUGAAGCAACAAAUGCCCUGCUUCCAGGAAAAGCCUCUAAGCAUCAGGUAACAUCAAAUCGUACCCCAAACCGACACAGGUGGUCAGGUAGAGAAUACCAAGGCGCUUGAGAGAACUCGGGUGAAGGAACUAGGCAAAAUGGUGCCGUAACUUCGGGAGAAGGCACGCUGAUAUGUAGGUGAAGUCCCUCGCGGAUGGAGCUGAAAUCAGUCGAAGAUACCAGCUGGCUGCAACUGUUUAUUAAAAACACAGCACUGUGCAAACACGAAAGUGGACGUAUACGGUGUGACGCCUGCCCGGUGCCGGAAGGUUAAUUGAUGGGGUUAGCCGCAAGGCGAAGCUCUUGAUCGAAGCCCCGGUAAACGGCGGCCGUAACUAUAACGGUCCUAAGGUAGCGAAAUUCCUUGUCGGGUAAGUUCCGACCUGCACGAAUGGCGUAAUGAUGGCCAGGCUGUCUCCACCCGAGACUCAGUGAAAUUGAACUCGCUGUGAAGAUGCAGUGUACCCGCGGCAAGACGGAAAGACCCCGUGAACCUUUACUAUAGCUUGACACUGAACAUUGAGCCUUGAUGUGUAGGAUAGGUGGGAGGCUUAGAAGUGUGGACGCCAGUCUGCAUGGAGCCGACCUUGAAAUACCACCCUUUAAUGUUUGAUGUUCUAACGUUGACCCGUAAUCCGGGUUGCGGACAGUGUCUGGUGGGUAGUUUGACUGGGGCGGUCUCCUCCUAAAGAGUAACGGAGGAGCACGAAGGUUGGCUAAUCCUGGUCGGACAUCAGGAGGUUAGUGCAAUGGCAUAAGCCAGCUUGACUGCGAGCGUGACGGCGCGAGCAGGUGCGAAAGCAGGUCAUAGUGAUCCGGUGGUUCUGAAUGGAAGGGCCAUCGCUCAACGGAUAAAAGGUACUCCGGGGAUAACAGGCUGAUACCGCCCAAGAGUUCAUAUCGACGGCGGUGUUUGGCACCUCGAUGUCGGCUCAUCACAUCCUGGGGCUGAAGUAGGUCCCAAGGGUAUGGCUGUUCGCCAUUUAAAGUGGUACGCGAGCUGGGUUUAGAACGUCGUGAGACAGUUCGGUCCCUAUCUGCCGUGGGCGCUGGAGAACUGAGGGGGGCUGCUCCUAGUACGAGAGGACCGGAGUGGACGCAUCACUGGUGUUCGGGUUGUCAUGCCAAUGGCACUGCCCGGUAGCUAAAUGCGGAAGAGAUAAGUGCUGAAAGCAUCUAAGCACGAAACUUGCCCCGAGAUGAGUUCUCCCUGACCCUUUAAGGGUCCUGAAGGAACGUUGAAGACGACGACGUUGAUAGGCCGGGUGUGUAAGCGCAGCGAUGCGUUGAGCUAACCGGUACUAAUGAACCGUGAGGCUUAACCUU